rnacentral:rRNA from 1 species
GACGAACGCUGGCGGCGUGCCUAAUACAUGCAAGUCGAACGCAGUGGGGACGGGUGCGUAACACGUGGGUAACCUCCCAUCAGAGGGGAUAACACUUGGAAACAGGUGCUAAACCGAUACUGAUGGAUGGACCCGCGGUGCAUUAGCUAGUUGGUGGGGUAACGGCUCCCCAAGGCCACGAUGCAUAGCCGACCUGAGAGGGGGAUCAGCCACCCUGGGACUGAGACACGGCCCAGACUCCUACGGGAGGCAGCAGUGGGGAAUAUUGCACAAGGGGCGCAAGCCUGAUGCAGCCAUGCCGCGUGUGUGAAGAAGGCCUUCGGGUUGUAAAGCACUUUCAGCGGGGAGGCGUUACCCGCAGAAGAAGCACCGGCUAACUCCGUGCCAGCCGCCGCGGUAAUAC